rnacentral:rRNA from 1 species
CCAAUAGCGUAUAUUAAAGUUGUUGCAGUUAAAAAGCUCGUAGUUGAACUUCGGGGUUUACCCAUUGGUCAGGCUUAAUUGUCUGUACUGGUGAGAUGAAUCUCUACCUUCUGAGGAACUUUCAUGCCAUUUAGUUGGUGUGAUAGGAAAUCAGGACUGUUACUUUGAAAAAAUUAGAGUGUCUAAAGCAGGCUAACGUCUGAAUACAUUAGCAUGGAAUAAUGAAAUAGGACGGAUUGGUUCUAUUUCGUUGGUUUCUAGGAUCACCGUAAUGAUUAAUAGGGAUAGUUGGGGGCAUUAGUAUUCAAUUGUCAGAGGUGAAAUUCUUGGAUUUAUUGAAGACUAACUAUUGCGAAAGCAUUUGCCAAGGAUGUUUUCAUUAAUCAAGAACGAAAGUUAGGGGAUCGAAGACGAUCAGAUACCGUCGUAGUCUUAACCAUAAACUAUGCCGACUAGGGAUCGGACGAAGUUAAUUUUAUAAUGACGCGUUCGGCACCUUACG